rnacentral:lncRNA from 1 species
UGUGUCUUAAUGUGAACACAGUUUAUUUACAAAAGCACUGUUUAUUGCAGAAUGGAACCUAACUUGCGAGAGUAUGGGCGUUCAGGGAGCUGUUGCUCUCCCCAACCAGUGAGGCAGCCAGGGUACCAGGGGCGGUCAUUCCGGUGGCUGCUGUCCAACGACAUCGGCUGGACAGCCAGAUUGAUGGCCUCACACCAGGUGAAGCGGGAAUCCAGCAGUGAGGACACGAAGGCCAUGAAGGUGAAGGACCUGCUGCUGGAGUAUUGCUCCUUCUACCCCCGCGUGAUGGCAGUGGUGGCCAAAAAGAAGGCGCAGUCUGAGGCAAAGAAGAGGGCGGCUGUAGCAAACACAGAGGGUCCUGGGCCUUCCUCUGCUGCGACCGCCACAGGUUCAUCAGGAGCCGUGGAGUGCAGCGCUGUACCGGACAGGAACGAGCGGAUUGGGUUUGGGAAGUUUUCCACCAUGACGCGCCAGGAACUCUACGACAGCGAGCUGGGCAUGCACCGUAAUCCCCCAAUUACGUGAGGAAAUGCCCAGCCGCACCUGACUCGUUGAUGGAAAAGAUGCAGGAUUACAUCCGCCUGCAUUCAGCCCCUCUCCUGCCUCGUUCCCUGCCCAAGGAGUCUGAUGAGCCGUCAGACUUGGAGCUGCUGGCUCACAUGGACAGCCUGUCAC